GACAGAGGUGCCGAGCGUUAGGCGGAAUCACUGGGCUUAAAGCGUGUGUAGGCGGUGGCCUAAGUACCUUGUUAAAUCCCACGGCUCAACCGUGGAACUGCUUGGUAUACUGGGUAUCUUGAGCCACUUAGGGGCAACCGGAACAAACGGUGGAGCGGUGAAAUGCGUAGAUAUCAGGAGGAACACCGAUGGCGAAGGCAGGUCUCUGGGCCACUACUGACGCUGAGAAGCGAAAGCAUGGGGAGCGAACAGG
rnacentral:rRNA from 1 species